rnacentral:rRNA from 1 species
GACGAACGCUGGCGGCGUGCUUAACACAUGCAAGUCGAACGGAAAGGCCUGCUUUCCCUUGUGUAUUGCGGGUACUCGAGCGGCGAACGGGUGAGUAACACGUGAGUUAUCUGCCCCCAACUUGGGUCGAAGCCUGGGAUACUGGGUUUAAUCCUCGAUCGGACUGCAGGGUGGUGCCGGUGGUGGAACACGACUUGCUAGUGGUAGCGGAUGAGCUCGCGGCCUAUCAGCGUGUUGGUGGGGCAAUGGCCCACCAAGGCGGCGACGGGUAGCCGGCCUGAGAGGGUGGACGGCCGCAUUGGGACUGGGUUACGGCCCAGACUCCUGCGAGCGGCAGCGAUUGGGAGUCUAGGGGCGUAAGCGGGAGCCUGAUGCAGCGACUCCGUGUAGAAGAUGUCGGCCUUCGGGUUGUAAUCUGCUGUCGAACGAGAGGAGGCCACCUGGUUGGAGGGGUGGUGACGGUAGUGGUAGAAGAAGCACCGGCUAACUUCGUG